rnacentral:lncRNA from 1 species
GUAGAGAGAGGUGUAACAUUCCAGCCCCUCAACCUAGAAAUGUUAGUAGAAUCAACAACAGCUUAAUAGACCAAGAGUCAGAAUCCCCCAAUGAAGAUUCUUCAUAAGAAAAAAGAAGACAGGGAUAUAACUCAUCAGCAGCUGCAGGGCAGGCCAUGCAAGACGGGGGAAAGAACAAAAAUUUUCCAAAAAAUCAAAAUUGGAACUCUGAACUUUUCAGGUCCCAGCUUACUUUUUAAAUCUCAAGCUAAUCAGAACUUUGCCAGGGCCAAAUGUAGUGAACCUCCAUCACCAAGUGUUCUUCCCAAACCACCAAGCUGUUUCCUUUAAUUCUUCCGAUAAGGCAAUAAUGACAUUUUAACUUAAAACCUUACUUAAAGUACAGGU